CUAGCGCCGCACAGCUCCGUCAGUCUUAUUCUGCCUUCUGCCAAUAGUUACCAUGUGGUUCAGGAUCUUGACUUGCUUGCUGAUUCUAAGCAUAGUUUCCGCUGUGGAUAUUCAACAUCUUAGGAUCCUCUCACCAUUAUCUUCUUCACAUGUCUUGGAUUGCAGCCAGAAAUGCGCCAGGAAACUCAUAGAUGGAAGUUGCAGGAUCAAUUGGUUUUGCAAGUUCUUAGAAAACUUACAGUGAAUCGUCGCUAGAAAACCAAACCACGGUGUCUGCACUUGCUGUACGAUGAAACAAAUAAAGAUUAAGCAAACUGUC